GACCGCGUAGCUCAGUUGGAAGAGCAUUGGGCUAGUAUUCCAAAGGUCGUAGGUUCAAAUCCCACCGUGGCUG